AAUGAACGUUGGCGGCAUGGAUUAGGCAUGCAAGUCGAGCGCGAAACGUAGCAAUACGUGGAGAGCGGCGAAAGGGAGAGGAAUAUGUGGGAACCUACCUUCGGGCCUGGAAUAGCGGCGGGAAACUGCCGGUAAUGCCAGAUAACGUCCCCGGACCAAAGGUGUGAUUCCGCCUGGAGAUGGGCCCACAUCCUAUCAGCUUGUUGGUGUGGUAACGGCGCACCAAGGCUAAGACGGGUAUGGGGUGUGAGAGCAUGCCCCCACUCACUGGGACUGAGACACUGCCCAGACACCUACGGGUGGCUGCAGUCGAGAAUCUUCGGCAAUGAGCGCAAGCUUGACCGAGCGAUGCCGCGUGCGGGAUGAAGGCCCGCGGGUUGUAAACCGCUGUCGUAGGGGAAUAACGGUCGGUGGGUGCUCCCAUCGAUUUGAAUGAUCCUAGGAGGAAGGACGGGCUAAGUUCGUG
rnacentral:rRNA from 1 species